AAAGGCACGAGUUUAGGCAAUUAAGCCCAAACCAUUCACAAGACCCCCGGAGUUUGGAGAAGUAGGAGGAGGGGCCAAAGAAAAGCCAACGGAGGAAAGGACCAAGAAGGGUCCUCUUUCCCAAGUUCACCCAAAACCCCCAACUGUGGAACCCAACAGCUGGCUCGGGUCAAGCGAGUCAAAGUCCUGGCACAAACCUGGGGCCAGGGGCAGUUAGCGCCCCUGAGACAGUGCAAAGGGGUCUAGGCGUGAAGAGAAAUAUUAUCAUGAGAAAGCGAGGCAAGAAAGCAGUACUGUCGACCAAGAGACAAGGCACCAGCACGCGGCCCUCGUCCCCUCCCCGAGACAGAUGCUUCUUAAGAAAAAUGGUUUUCACACUGGGUAAGCUUGAGUCAGGUCACAUACAGCCAGCCUUGCAAGUGGAGUCUUCCAGAGAACCACCAGACAGGGAAAAUUUGUCUCCCGAGUGGAAGGAACCUCUUCCUCACUCCUGCCGGGCAUAAUCCUGAGCUUAGCUCAUGGGCAGAACGAGUCAUUGAUUGAC